rnacentral:lncRNA from 1 species
AGAUGUUCGGCAUGAAAAAUGAGGGAGGAAAAGCCCAAACAAUUAGGAUUUUCCAAAUUAUUUAAGUACAACGAUGGGCGGGGUGUUACAUCCCCCCAAUUUAAAAACAUUUGGUCUCUAAAUUUGUCUCGAAUAGGUCUGGAUGCUUCUCCCUCAUCUCACUCUCCAACUCCCACGUUCUUGUUACGCAAGACUUUAUCGGUCUACCUAAAAAUCUCCACAGGAACCUCCUCAUAAGUCAUGUCUGUUUGUACCCAUACCUCAUCGCGAGAAAUAAUAUGAGAAGGAUCAGGGUGAUACC